rnacentral:rRNA from 1 species
AUUGAACGCUGGCGGCAGGCCUAACACAUGCAAGUCGAGCGGGGUUUUCGGACCUAGCGGCGGACGGGUGAGUAAUGCCUAGGAAUCUGCCUGGUAGUGGGGGACAACGUUUCGAAAGGAACGCUAAUACCGCAUACGUCCUACGGGAGAAAGCAGGGGACCUUCGGGCCUUGCGCUAUCAGAUGAGCCUAGGUCGGAUUAGCUAGUUGGUGGGGUAAUGGCUCACCAAGGCGACGAUCCGUAACUGGUCUGAGAGGAUGAUCAGUCACACUGGAACUGAGACACGGUCCAGACUCCUACGGGAGGCAGCAGUGGGGAAUAUUGGACAAUGGGCGAAAGCCUGAUCCAGCCAUGCCGCGUGUGUGAAGAAGGUCUUCGGAUUGUAAAGCACUUUAAGUUGGGAGGAAGGGCAGUAAGUUAAUACCUUGCUGUUUUGACGUUACCGACAGAAUAAGCACCGGCCAACUUCGUGCCAGCCGCCGCAGUAAAAC